rnacentral:rRNA from 1 species
GGUGGAGGAUGGACUCGCGGCCUAUCAGCUUGAUGGUGGGGUAGUGGCCUACCAUGGCUUUGACGGGUAGCCGGCCUGAGAGGGUGACCGGCCACACUGGGACUGAGACACGGCCCAGACUCCUACGGGAGGCAGCAGUGGGGAAUAUUGCACAAUGGGCGGAAGCCUGAUGCAGCGACGCCGCGUGGGGGAUGAAGGCUUUCGGGUCGUAAACUCCUUUCAGCAGGGACGAAGCUUUUGUGACGGUACCUGCAGAAGAAGCACCGGCUAACUACGUGCCAGCAGCCGCGGUAAUACGUAGGGUGCGAGCGUUGUCCGGAAUUAUUGGGCGUAAAGAGCUUGUAGGCGGUUUGUCGCGUCUGCCGUGAAAGCCCAGGGCUUAACCCUGGGUCUGCGGUGGGUACGGGCAGACUAGAGUGUGGUAGGGGAGACUGGAAUUCCUGGUGUAGCGGUGAAAUGCGCAGAUAUCAGGAGGAACACCGAUGGCGAAGGCAGGUCUCUGGGCCACUACUGACGCUGAGAAGCGAAAGCAUGGGGAGCAAACAGGAUUAGAUACCCUGGUAGUCCAUGCCGUAAACGUUGGGAACUAGGUGUGGGCCUCAUUCCACGAGGUCCGUGCCGUAGC